AUGGGGCUCCCGUCUCCACAGGGUAUCCGCCCCGAGAUGCCCCUGAAGUCCCUGGUGAGGAAGCUGCAGGAGGCGCUGGUCACCUCCGACUUCCACACCAAGACGGAAGUGCUGAGCGCCAUCACCUACUUGGAGGACCAGCUGGAGGACAAGACCAAGAGGUGGAUCCAGUACACCCUGCUUGAAGUGCUGAAUGAGGAAGGCAACACCCCCUCGCUGCAGGAAAAGAGCCAGAGGAGGUUCAUCCUGGCCGCCCUGCGCGUUCUCCUGGACCUGGACAAGGACAGCCUGGACUUGAUGGUGGAGCUGAUGACCUGUUACCUGAUGGCGGCUCCCUGCAUCCGGGCCGUCUUUAAGGACAUGUUCAAGGAGUUGGGGCUUCAUGACCCCCACAACUUCUUCUUCAAGGAGAUGAACUCCUGGAUGGUGGAGAUGGAGGACCCCAAGGAGGCCGUGCGGAAACGCAGCAGCCAGUGGCUGGAGGAGAUGAUCGGGAUUUUCCAGGAGCACAGAGUUCGCCUGUGGCAAGAAGAGGCCACCUCUGGGAGGAAGCCUUCCCUGGACAUCGGCCACAAGAUCCAGCAAAGGAAAAAGCUAGAGAAGAGGCACAAAAAAGCCACGAAGCUCACGGGAAAGCCGGCCAAGGCUGCCCACAAGGAGGUGGAAGAAAGCGAGGAGGAGAGGCUGGGGAAGCACAGCUUGGAAGACCUCCAGAAGCCUGUUCGCCCCAUUGAUGCCAUCCAACAUUUUACGGAAAAGCAGCUGGAGAGAGAAUUGGCGGCACUGAAAGAGGCCGUCUGUUUGAGAGUAGAUUCCCCCCGGGACACCAUCUUGGCGUUGCCCCCUCUUCAGACGUCCAAAGCGAUCCUGCGCCUCGGAGAAACCAAUGUAAUGCUGAGAACGAGGAUUGCUGAGCGCUUCUACUUCCCCUUCAUCUUCCCCCGCUACCUCAUGAAAGGCUUCGUCCCCUUUGUGAAGCUGCCUCUACCGAAGGUCACCUUGCAGCCGUUUCCAUCCCUUUCCAAGAGGCCGGCAGCGCCAAGGACUUUCACUGCCAGGCAGCAGCUGGUGCACAAGUACUUCAUCCCAAAGUUCUCCUACGCGGACAGCUACCCUUGAAGGCAGCGAGGCCCAGGAUGGAGCCGAGGGGCUUCCAUGGCAGCAACCGGACGGGUCCCGUGCUGAAGAGCCAGGUGGCACCAGCCUGGCACAUGUCCACGGGCUCCAAUCGACCAACCGGGUAGCAAUAAUCAGAGACUUCCAGAGGCAUUUCAUUUUAUUUACUUAAAGUGACAAGAACCCGAUUUAUGACACAUUUAUGAUAAGAUUUCCCGGCAAGGUGAGGGAGAAGCGCCAAUAAAGAGGAAAGCAGGCCAGUAGCGCUUUCACAGGGGGAAAAACUCUUUGGGCAGCUGUUCCGUGGGUGUCCUGCAGGGGGAGGGGGGGCUCGGGGGCGGUGAGA
rnacentral:lncRNA from 1 species